GUUUUCCUUGGCCUCACAUGGGCUAAAAUGGAAUGAGGCAAAGAUUAGCAAGUCCCCUGCCAAAGGAUGACACGCGGAUUCAUGAAAUGUUCCUAUUUAAA
ensembl:snRNA LOC120103234 U6 spliceosomal RNA